rnacentral:rRNA from 1 species
GAUAAUGUCAUUAAAUUUUAUAUGAAUAGUUCUUAAUUGAAUUAUUUUCAUAUAAAACAUUAUCAUCAUCGAAAAUAUUAUAUUGGUCAUUAAAUUGUCUAGUAUAAGAUUUUUGUCAUUUACUGUGAGCAAAAUAGAGUGUUCAAAGCAGGCUUAGGCCGUUGAAUACAUUAGCAUGGAAUAAUAAUAUAAGAUUUUGAUAUAAAUUUUAUUUUGUUGGUUUAUAUAUCAAAAUA